UGAGGAAUAUUGCGCAAUGGGCGAAAGCCUGACGCAGCGACGCCGCGUGGACGAUGAAGCCUUUAGGGGCGUAAAGUCCUUUCGGCAGGGACGAAUAAGUUCAAUAAUAAUAAGAUUGAAUGAUGACGGUACUUGAAGAAGAAGCCCCGGCUAACUACGUGCCAGCAGCCGCGGUAAUACGUAGGGGGCAAGCGUUAUCCGGAAUUACUGGGUGUAAAGGGCGUGUAGGUGGUUUUGUAAGUCAGAUGUGAAAUUUUAGAGCCUAACUUUGAAAUUACAUUUGAAACUGCAAGACUAGAGUGCAGGAGAGGAAGGUAGAAUUCCCGGUGGAGCGGUGAAAUGCAUAGAUAUCGGGAGGAAAACCAGUGGCGAAGGCGGCCUUCUGGACUGCAACUGACACUGAGGCGCGAAAGCGUGGGGAGCAAACA
rnacentral:rRNA from 1 species